rnacentral:rRNA from 1 species
UACGGAGGGUGCGAGCGUUGUCCGGAAUCACUGGGCGUAAAGGGCGUGCAGGCGGUCUGUUAAGUUCAGGGUGAAAGCUCCCGGCUCAACUGGGAGAGGUCCUUGGAUACUGGCAGACUUGAGGGAGGUAGAGGAGAGUGGAAUUCCCGGUGUAGUGGUGAUAUGCGUAGAUAUCGGGAGGAACACCAGUGGCGAAGGCGGCUCUCUGGGCCUUUCCUGACGCUGAGACGCGAAAGCGUGGGGAGCGAACCGG